rnacentral:rRNA from 1 species
AGAACGAACGCUGGCGGCGCGUUUUAAGCAUGCAAGUCGGACGGCAAGGUUGGUAGCAAUAUCGACCCUAGAGUGGCGAACGGGUGAGUAACACGUAGGUGAUCUACCUCUGGAUGGGGGAUAGCCCGUGGAAACACGGGGUAAUACCGCAUGAGGCCUUGUGGGUGAAGCCAUGAGGUGAAAGGUGCAAUUGCAUCGUCUGGGGAUGAGCCUGCGGUCCAUUAGUUAGUUGGCGGGGUAACGGCCCACCAAGACGACGAUGGAUAGCCGGCCUGAGAGGGUGGACGGCCACACUGGAACUGAGACACGGUCCAGACUCCUACGGGAGGCAGCAGCUAAGAAUCUUCCGCAAUGGGGGAAACCCUGACGGAGCGACGCCGCGUGGAUGAUGAAGGCCGUAAGGUUGUAAAAUCCUUUUGUCGGUGAAGAAUAAGGGAGGGAGUGGAAAGCCCUCCUGAUGACGUUAGCCGAUGAAUAAGCCCCGGCUAAUUACGUGCCAGCAGCCGCGGUAAUACGUAUGGGGCAAGCGUUGUUCGGAUUUAUUGGGCGUAAAGGGCGUGUAGGCGGCUCAUCAAGUCUGGUGUGAAAUCGCAGGGCUUAACCCUGCAUAUGCGCUGGAAACUGGUGGGCUUGAGUUCUUGAGGGGAAGCUGGAAUUCCAGGUGUAGGGGUGAAUCUGUAGAUAUCUGGAAGAACACCGGUGGCGAAGGCGAGCUUCUAUCAGAGGACUGACGCUGAGGCGCGAAAGCGUGGGGGGCAAACAGGAUUAGAUACCCUGGUAGUCCACGCUGUAAACGAUGUGCACUAGGCGUGGGGCCCGUACGGGUUCUGUGCCGUAGUUAACGUGUUAAGUGCACCGCCUGGGG